AUGGGUUUCGCUUUCACUUCCUCACAGUCCCGCUCGGCGCGGUGACUCUAAACCAAGACGGAAGCACUGGCACCGGAUGCGUGACAAACCAAAAUAUGGAAAAGUGGGGGUGUUGAUUAGCGUAGAAAUUGGGUGGGUUAAAUGCUCGGGUGAGUUUUAUAUGUGACUUUUUUCUGUUGUUCAGAUUAACUGCUUAUAGCCUUAGAAAGCCUUUACAGACUAAAAACAAAACAAAUAGAUGUGCAUUCAAGUUUUACGAACGGAUUCAUCCAAAGGAAUUCCUUUUUUGGGGUUUGGAUGUCGCAGCUAGUAAAGGAUAUUUUUGCUCUGGUCAGCCAAGCGCUGAGGCGGGGGCCAGGUCACUGGUAGCGUAGCGCGGGGUGGGAGAAGCGCGGGUUCGGUUGUAGAACCCGCCAUACUCCCAAGUUUACUGCGAGUUUUUAUGCUUGAGAGAGAUGCUUUAUAGAAUGAGAAUGAUGUGUUGAUUUUACUGAUUGUACUGUACAUCUAUUGAAGCCUUAGAUUAUUACAUUACGGGUUAAAACCCAUACCAAUGUAAGUUCAAUCGUGUUAAGAAAGUAUAGGUGACUUCACAUGUUAUUGUAGUUACUAAACAUUAUAGAAUAUCACUUGGUUUUUUCUUGUUAAAAGUGUAGGUUUUAUUUCUUACAUUUAUUAGAUUGUUUUCAUUUUCUAUUACCAGCUGAUACCGUUUCAGUUUAUAGAGUUGUGUUUUACUAGAGUAGUUUCCUUCAUAACGUACUCGGGUUUGAAUUUCCAUGUAGUGUCAUACGAGUAUCCGUAUUACCGUUAACGAAACGACUUCUGUUUUACUGAUUUCCUCUGACAGUGUAAGAAUGUCAGUCAGCGUUAGUUCUUGUCUAGUUUUCAUUAAAAGAACAAAGAUCUUUUAUAUGGAUAUCUUAUAAUUAUAUAAUCAUUGCUACGUAAGAAGUUAAGUUGUUGCUAUCGCAACAGUCCUGGCAGACAAUUGAGUAAUAUUUUGAUGAUUUAUUUUGUUUGUAAUUAGUUAUUAUGAGAAAAAUCUAGAUCCUAGAUACUAGAGUAAAAUUUAUUUUCUACUGUAUCCAUUUCAAAUGUUAAAAUAUUGUUUAAAUAUUUUUUGAAAUCCCUGAAUAUCAGGCCUUGUUAUAAAUAAGCUGCAUAAUCAAUAGAUCAAGGGACGUUUUGUUGAUAAUCCAAAUACUCAAAGUUUACGUAACGAGGGUUAGAGCGCGUGUGUGCAAACUCGUGAGGGUUGAUUAUGCUGCAGUUGAGCAUGUGGGAGCGUUUAGAGAGAAGGUUGACUUUUUGCACUUCUGUAUAUAGUCAAAAAAGAGAGAAACCUGUAUAAUAGUAAGAUCUUAUUUUGAAUAAAAAUGUCUAUAGUUACAAGGAGUUUUGUUAAGGCUAUUAAAAUGACAGGCUGAACAAAAUUGCUUGCAAAAGUGGCACAGAGUUAGCACUCCAUUCCCCUUCAAAAAAGUUGCUUUGCUUUAUGUGGACAGCUUGUAGUUUGCCAGGAUUUUUUCAGCUGGAAAGAUAUGCCAUCCUUCCAAGAUCUCAUGACUGACAAAAGCUCCACUGGUUCAAAUCUGCCUGAAAACCAUU